AUCACGUUAGUGUGCGGUGUAACAGAUGAUAAGUAGUGUUUUUCUUUAUCAAUAUCUGUCACGCAUCCAAGUGGUUCAAUCCCACUCCAACACGUUAUACAAAUAGGUGAUCAGCGUAUGCAUGCAAACAAAUACCAUCGAUCAAGAAGUCCUUGGACCUCGUUCUUUCAGUUUUACCAAAGAGAGCAUCAGUCUUUGCCUUCAAACCUCAUUUCCUCCUUACUGCAGAACAAAGCUAGCUCACAGAACAAUAUAUAUGCAUGGCGAUUCUUCUUCUUCUUCUUCUUCUUCUUCUUGAUCUUGAUCUUCAGCCCCUUAUAAAAACCUCCUACGUGGAAAGUGCUUGCAUCAUGAGUUGCAGAUCAUCGAUAUCAAGUUGUCAGUUAACAUGACUGCGUGGCAUAUAGAGAUCAUGGGAUAUAUUAUUUAUCCAAGGUCUUACAUGUGGAUGAUGGGAGAUCUAUGAUGAUAAUGACAUCAAUUAAUGGCAAAGAUGGUCAUCGCAAUCACUUCAUGCCAGAUGCUAGAUGCUACAGAGAUCAAGUGAGGUAAUCUCUCUUCACAAUACUUAUCCAUUCAAGUACUGAUCUCCGAUUCCUUCCACGUACCCUAUAAUUGUUUGAGAGUACAGUGAUAUUAAUAAUUUGUGCCUUGACCAAAUUUACAGGUGCAAACUCAGUUUAGAUUUCAGUCCCAAUUCCCUGAUCUCUAUAUAUCUUCCCUCUUUCCCACUUACUACUCUCCCAACAAAAUCAAAUUAGUUCAUGUAGACAAAUGAAGAUUUCCUCCUCUUUCUCUCCAUUUUAUUCCAAUUUUUUUUUCCUUUUUCUUUGUUUUUUAUUUUAGAAUAAAGUUUGAGACAGAAAGAUUAGAUCAUAUUAGAAAUAUCGUAAUUAGUGGACAUGCAUAUAUCAUAAAUCUAAAAAUUGCCCAGUAUUAUAAGGUUUUGGUGAUGACAGUACAACCCAUUUAGUGUAAUAAAUAAAGUGACAUAAUUGGACUAUUGACCCAUCUUUAAAAGCUUAUAAAGUCAGACCCAUUUAAUUCCAUUCUUUAAUGAUGGGCAAAUUGGAAUUUGGGCAAUAUAUAUAGGUUAUGGUUCAUACUCUAGAUUCAUUCUUGAUUUUAUGCAUCUCAUCAAUGUGAGUAUGAGUAACAAUAUAUGACACGGCUUCUAAACCCAACACCACCAUGAAAUGAAAUUAGUGGGUUUGGAUUUUAUAAAAAUGAGUUCGGAUCAAAAAGAGUUGAUCCGUUAAAAUACGAAUAAUAAACGGAUCAAAACGCUUAACCCUCAAUAAUUCGUUUAACUUUUAUUUCAAAAUUACAAUUUGAUUAUUGUUGGGUUAUAACAUUGAUAUUUAUCUAUAUGAUUAUAUUUUUAUUAUUGAGAUUCCAAUUUUGGAUCUAUGUUCAUUUUUGUUAUUAUAGGGUUUGUAAUAUUAAUUUUAUUAUAGGUUAAAUUAUAAAAAAUAUUAAUAUUUUUUAUAAUUAGUAGGUAGUCUUAAUAUUUUUUUAGAUAUAGUAGCGACUAAUAAUAUAUAUUUUAAAUUUUAUAUAAAAUUAUGUUAAUCAUGUCAAAUGGAUUAUGCGUAUUAUUUCAAUUCAUUUACAUGAAACGGAUUAAAAUGAAUUGUGUUAUAUUUCUAAUUAAUUAUUAAAUGGGUUAAAAUGGAUGACACGAUAAGACCCAUUAUUUAAAGAAGUUUGAUUAGGGUUUGAAGGUUUGACCUAUUUAGCUUAACAUGUUAGGUUUUGGUUGACUCAUUUAGUCAAAUAUUCAUGAUUUGACACGACAUGAACAUAGUCUACAAACACAAAUUGCCAAGCUGAGAGUUUUUACAAAGAAUGAAUCUUGGGCGCAAAAUACUGAACUACUGCACUCUUCUCUCUUAUUGUUACAAGUGCACUCUAUCAAACCAUCUCUUGCCACAGCUUGACAUAUGAUCUCAACAUAUUCAGAUUAUCCAAAUUUAACAUGAGAGAGUUGUUUCAACUUUUCCUGGAAGUAUCAUCGCAUUGAUUUUUACACAAACCAUCUUGCUCGAAUUAACAUGGGAAUAGUUGGAAUGCUUGAUUGGGGUAGUUUAUGUGGUAGAUCGAUGAUGAUUAUAGUGGCUGGAUGUUCAAUAGAGCACCCGUCCCAAGAUUUCGAAACGUUUAAUAGGGAACGUUACCGAAGCUGUUCCAAAAAUUAACGGGCCGGUCAAUUUUAAUCCUACCUAAUAAUUAAAAUGUAGGCCGCAGAACCAGUUCUGCAUGAGGCUGGUCAAACUUAUAUACAAGCAUUCAAACCCACGAACGCAAAAUGGGGAAUAGAGCGCUCUCUACAUUAAUGAACUUCAUUCUUUAUCAACUUGAUAAAAGCUCAUUUAAAAAAAAAAAAAAAAAAAAAAAAAAAAACUUGAUAAAAGCGAACUUGCUAUAUAUGAACGGGUUUUCUUUCGUUUUAUCGCAAUUUCAAUUGUCUCAUGUGCAUGCCUUCUUUCUCCUGCCCUAUAUAUCUUGCACGUCAUAGGCAGUGCUGCUGGAUUUGGAGUAUUCAAAUAUGUAAAGAUCUCAUGUUAAACCAUUGUAGAAAUUUAGUAGAGAAUGUACCUAUAGCCAUUAUGCGGUAUUUAUCUACUAAAUGAUUACAUGUAGAAUUACUCUUUAAGAAAGAGAAGAGCGCAAUGGUUCAGUCUUUCAUGUUCAAUAUUCCUUAUUUGAAAAAAUUCACAACCAUAAAAUGCAUAGAGUCAAGAAUAAUUAAUUUGGAGUACGAACCAUAAUCUAUGUAAUAUCCAAACUUUAAUUUCUUCCAUCAUAAAAUAAUGAAAUUACAUGAGUUUUUAAUGGGUC